UUUAGCCAAAUGCUUCACUCAUAUUUCUUAGGAACUGCUUUCGAUUCUUAACAUUUGCAAAUUUUUCUUUCUCAAUUUCCCUUUAAUCCUUUAGCCCUUGCCUCUUAUGUACCAAAAAAAAGGUAAAUUUCCAUGGUAGUUUUCUUUCUCGACCACCGAUUGUUACGGUUAGAAAGCUUAAAAGAUAAUUGCCAACUGCAACCAAUUAACUUGGUGCUAACAACUAAUCCUGGUAGCUACGCACUGAGUCUUGGAUUAUUCUAGCCUGGAUCGAUGUACAUCUUUUAUUGAACUUUGUUCCUUACCUCAAAUAUCUGCUUUUAUCGUAAGUCUUGUGAUCAUGAGGAUCAAAAUCUGCUCAUAAUUAAUGCUUUAUUCUUAUCUUCAGGAUUGAUCAGGACCACCAAAACAGCCCAUGUGUUUCUUGUUGAUCAGCUUCUUAAAAAUGUUAAGUUGCUUGCUUUGACUCAAUGUAUAUAUGCAUAUGGAGCAUGGAAUGUUCAAUUUUCAUGUCGUCUAUAUCGUGAAAAUGAUCAUCUUCUUA
rnacentral:lncRNA from 1 species